rnacentral:rRNA from 1 species
CCUACGGGAGGCAGCAGUGGGGAAUCUUGCGCAAUGGGCGAAAGCCUGACGCAGCCAUGCCGCGUGUAUGAUGAAGGUCUUAGGAUUGUAAAAUACUUUCACCGGGGACGAUAAUGACGGUACCCGGAGAAGAAGCCCCGGCUAACUUCGUGCCAGCAGCCGCGGUAAUACGAAGGGGGCUAGCGUUGCUCGGAAUUACUGGGCGUAAAGGGAGCGUAGGCGGACAGUUUAGUCAGAGGUGAAAGCCCAGGGCUCAACCUUGGAAUUGCCUUUGAUACUGACUGUCUUGAGUGUGGGAGAGGUGAGUGGAACUCCGAGUGUAGAGGUGAAAUUCGUAGAUAUUCGGAAGAACACCAGUGGCGAAGGCGACUCACUGGCCCAUUACUGACGCUGAGGCUCGAAAGCGUGGGGAGCAAACAGGAUUAGAUACCCUGGUAGUCCACGCCGUAAACGAUAGAGUGCUAGUUGUCGGCAUGCAUGCAUGUCGGUGACGCAGCUAACGCAUUAAGCACUCCGCCUGGGGAGUACGGUCGCAGAUUAAAACUCAAAUGAAUUGACGG